rnacentral:rRNA from 1 species
GAUGAACGCUGGCGGCGUGCCUAAUACAUGCAAGUCGAGCGAACAGAUGAGGAGCUUGCUCCUUUGACGUUAGCGGCGGACGGGUGAGUAACACGUGGGUAACCUACCUAUAAGACUGGAAUAACUCCGGGAAACCGGGGCUAAUGCCGGAUAACAUUUAGAACCGCAUGGUUCUAAAGUGAAAGAUGGAUUUGCUAUCACUUAUAGAUGGACCCGCGCCGUAUUAGCUAGUUGGUAAGGUAACGGCUUACCACGGCAACGAUACGUAGCCGACCUGAGAGGGUGAUCGGCCACACUGGAACUGGGACACGGUCCAGACUCCUACGGGAGGCAGCAGUAGGGAAUCUUCCGCAAGGGGCGAAAGCCUGACGGAGCAACGCCGCGUGAGUGAUGAAGGUCUUCGGAUCGUAAAACUCUGUUAUUAGGGAAGAACAAAUGUGUAAGUAACUGUGCACGUCUUGACGGUACCUAAUCAGAAAGCCACGGCUAACUACGUG